UUUGUGGACGUUGCCAUUUUGUUGGCGACUCCUACGACCCCACGAUUGAAAACACAUUUACGAAAAUGAUCACCGUGAACGGUCAGGAGUAUCACCUGCAGCUGGUGGACACAGCGGGACAGGACGAGUACUCUAUCUUCCCUCAGACGUACUCUAUAGACAUCAAUUGAUAUA